rnacentral:rRNA from 1 species
UACAGAGGGGGCUAGCGUUGUUCGGAAUGACUGGGCGUAAAGGGCGCGUAGGUGGCCCAACAAGUCAGAUGUGAAAGGCCUAGGCUUAACCUGGGGAUGGCAUUUGAGACUGUGGGGCUAGAGUCCGGGAGAGGAUAGCGGAAUUCCUAGUGUAGAGGUGAAAUUCGUAGAUAUUAGGAAGAACACCGGUGGCGAAGGCGGCUAUCUGGAACGGAACUGACACUGAGGCGCGAAAGCGUGGGGAGCAAACAGG